rnacentral:lncRNA from 1 species
AAAUACAAAUAAACAGUGGCGUAUUUAUGGGGAAGGUGCUGGUGGGUAACUUAUUUAUAUUUUUAAUACAACAUUUUCUUUAGGACCAUAUAAACAGUAAUAUAAAUGAAAUAGUUAAAGAACCAGUGAUUAUAUGUAGAUGAACAUUUCAAUAAUGAUCAAGAAUUUAAUUUUAUGAAAUGAUCUACACAAAAAAUGUGUUAAAAUAAAUUCAUGGGAUGUAUUUGCACACCCUUGCAUCCCACAAAUAACGCCAUUGCUCAAAACAUUAGAUUCUGAGAAUGAUUUAGAGCAAGCAAUUUCUUCAUUAGAGCUAAUUAAUUUUGAAUCAAUCGAAACAGAAGUAAGUGAAGAUAAUAUUUUAGAUCAGGUCUCAACUGCAAGUGAAAAUAAUAUUUUAGAGCAGACCUCAAUUACAAGUGAAUCAGUAUUAGAAGAAAUUACAAUUUUUCAAGAUAAAAUAAAUAAAAAGCUAGCUGUAAGUUAACAUCACCAAGCAAAACGAAUGAAAACUGAUAGUAUCUUGAAGUAACCAAUCGUUUCAAUCGGUACAAAUGUAACGUUACCUGUACCAGAUGAAAAUAGAAGUAAAGGAAAUUCGAAAAAUAUCAUAGGUGUUAUAAUGGAAGUAACAACGGGCGACUUGUAUAAAAUUGGUACUAAAAAUGGCAUUAUUGUACAACUUGUAGUCGUAACCAAUUUUCAUCUUGUGAUGGGGUAAAUAUAUUAAAUAUAAAUGAUAUACCUACUGAUAAAAUUUCUCUAAGAGCUGCAAAUAUAAAAGAAUCAAUGUUUGAAGGACAAGGUUUUUUUAAAUGUUUUUGUACACGUAAACGCUAUAAUAAUAAAUGUAUACCUAUGUAAAGUAAUAUGCAACUCACGCUGUCAUAAAUCACUUGAUUAUAAAAAUAAAUAAUGAUAGAGUAUAUGUAAUAAAUAAUAAUAUUUGAUUUUAGUAAUAUGUAGUUGUAUAAUAUUUUUUUUAUACGAAAAAUUGUAAUUUAUAUAAUAUGUUUUUAAAUGUUGUGAUUUGUACAAUGAUUGUAUACAUUUCGCAAUUUGUACAGUGAUUAUUGUACACAUUGCGAAUUGUAUAAUGAACUUGUACAAUUCCGGACUUUGUAUGUAACAUAUAAAUUGAUUGUGUCAAAAUAAUAAUUUACAAUAAAUCCUUGCAA